UCAAUCGAAGUUGGAUGGUGGUCGUCAUGGAAAUGGUUGUAAACAUUUGAUUUGGAGGUUAUAUUGUGCGUUAUUCAAUAACAUUGUGUUUCUGAAGACAUUAACGUAUUUAAUUGCAUGAACAUUUCAAAUUAUGUUUUUCGCCUACUCCGAGUGGAAUUUACAUGUCAGCUGUUGAUGUGAAUCGUGGAGACACAAUAUUGUAAAGGAAAUAUAAUUCUCAAGAUAACACAGUAGAAGUGGAAGGUAGCGAAUCUUCAAAAUCGUGUUUGAAGUUUUGCCUGCAACGAAAUGGUGAAGCUACAUGUCAAACGUCGAGACGACAGUCAGUUUCUUUAUGAGACCACAGUCACGGCAUCAGUGAAAGAUGUCACUCAAGACAUCGCAGCAAUUUUUAAUGGAAGGCUGAAGAUAAGUAGAAUUUGUGAUGAAAUGGAAGAGGUAGCUAAGCAUGGAACAUUGCUCCCUCCAAACAUUUUGGGAUUAACUGAUGAGCAAGUUGAAGAACUGAAACUUGUUGAUGAAUGGGGUGAAAAAUGUGUUCCAAGUGGAGGCUGGACAUUCAAUAAAGAUCCCAUAGGUCGUAGAAAUGGGAGACAACCAAACGAAAAGAUGCAGGAGAUCAUUGCUAAAACAGUUCAGGAAGCUAAAGCUAUGGUGUCAAAGAAACUAGUCCAACAGGAUAUCUGUUUAACACUGAAGAUUGUUCAACGUGCAAUAGACAUCUUGAGAGGUGCAAUGAUGAUUGUGUAUCCUAUGAAUCUUCCUCCACAUGACACAAUUCGCCUUGAACUGGAGAACAACGAGGACCUCUCAGGAACACAGGCAUCACGAGAGGUUAUAGAUGCAGCAUUGGCUCAGCUUUGGUGCUGUGGUCGUGCAAUGCAACUAGAACAUAAACUUUCAGAAUAUGUUGGUAAAAAUGAAAAAUGCAAAGUGAUUGUUAAACUGCAGAAGAAAACAGAAGGUGCACCAGCUAGAGAACCUGUAUUUUCUGAGGAAGAAAGAAAGCAGAUGAUGCUUCAUGCGUACCGGAGGCAAGAAGAACUAAAAAAGCUUGAGGCUGUUGAGACAGAAUAUACAAGAGACAAAAGCAUUAUAUUUCCUGGCAUGAAGCAGCGUGGGAUUCAGCUGUAGCUAUGACAUGUACAGGUGGUCAGUUCACUGUUUUGCGUAAAAACUACACUAUACAACGAUUGAAUUCAGAAACGAAACCGAAGUUUGUGACAAGCCAACUACUCAGCACCCACGGUUUUCAUGUUCUGGGAUAACCAAAGCAUCUGUAUCCAACAGUUCAGUAGUUACAGCAACAGCUAAUUUUUGUAUGUGUGUGUAUGAAAUAUUUUACGGAAGUGCAUGUAAAGGAUUGUAUUUACUGCAACUCUGUAGGAAAACAUUGUUUACAUCCAGUGAAUAUAAUAUCUGUGUAAAUAUCUUAUGAAGUCAUAAAACAAAAAUACCUAACCAA